rnacentral:rRNA from 1 species
UUAAGUAAAGAUUUUAAGGGCGUACGGUGGAUGCCUUGGCGAUAUCAGCCGAAGAAGGACGCGGUAAGCUGCGAUAAGCUACGGAGAGAUGCAAGCAAUCUUUGACCCG